UACGUAGGGUGCAAGCGUUAAUCGGAAUUACUGGGCGUAAAGCGUGCGCAGGCGGUUGAUGUAAGACCCGAUGUGAAAUCCCCGGGCUUAACCUGGGAACUGCAUUGGUGACUGCAUUGGCUGGAGUAUGGCAGAGGGGGGUGGAAUUCCACGUGUAGCAGUGAAAUGCGUAGAGAUGUGGAGGAACACCCGAUGGCGAAGGCAGCCCCCUGGGCCAAUAACUGACGCUCGAUGCACGAAAGCGUGGGGAGAAACAGG
rnacentral:rRNA from 1 species